rnacentral:misc_RNA from 1 species
UUAUGGAGGAUCUCUUAGUAAGACUUGACUACAUUUGAAACUUCUAAGCGUAUAAUUAAACAGAUUGACAAUUUAGUCUUUCUAAUACUUUAAAAACUGCGUAUAAACUUAUCAUGUGUAUGGACUAUUCAGUAUUUAAAACAAAUAAUUAUUUUCAGGAAGUGGUCGAUUUUUGGGCCGUUAUAAAUAAUGGUGAUAGAUAAUGGCGCGAGAGGCACUAAAUCGAGUAGAAGAACUAGAAACGGAAAACAGUCACCUCACGAAACGGCUCGACAAACUCAAAAAUGCUAAAUCUGCGCUAUUAAAGGACCUGUGACAAAACUGACCGGAAUAUAUCAUAAAAUCUAUAGUACACGGCAAUACGAUUGAAGCAGACUUAUUAUUUUUUAAAUUUGGUUACUGCUAACUGUUUAGCAGUUACAUUGUAACGUUUAGGCUGAAUGAUAAAAUUCCUUGUCCUUGAUAUAAUAUUUUUAAAUAAUUUGCAAUUUUUUUAUUAUCUUAUUUUUAGCGCCAAAACGGACCGGUUCAAAUUUUAAAAAUAAAAUGUCUAUAUUUCCGAUACUAGAGAUAUGAUUUUACAAAUUUAAAUUGUUGUGGUUUUGGAAAGUUUUUGAUGAAACGAUUUUUAGUUUUAUUGCUUACAUAUUAUGAACACAAAUACUUUGAAUGCCGUCUCAAUAACCAUUUGGUAAAUUGAUAAAUGAAAUGAUUUUUUUUUAAUAUUUUUACAUUUCAAUGAUUUUAAAAUAUGACAUUCAAUUAAACUUUUUAUAAUGACGAUGGUUAGAACGUAAUAACGGAUUUAUUUAUAACAAUAACUUGUUUCUUUGUAAAUGUUCUAUUAUUAUUAAAUUGUAAAAAAAUGUGCAUUAUGUUUAAAAAUAUAAUUAUUUAUUUGUUAAACAUAUUAAUAUUAUCAUAUAAUUUGUAUAGGUUCUAUUUAAUUAAGUUUAUGUAAUUCUAGCUUGCCCAGGUUUCGCUUUGUACUAAUCGAAAGGUUUAACAUGAUCACACUAUUAUAUAUAACUUGCCAUUUCCCUACUGUUGUAUUAUAGACAUUACCCGAUUCCGUAACGAUAGUUGUGUUAGACCAAGGUGAAUGUAGUUAAAUGUUUUAUACUGUAGUUAGACGACUUGAAAAAAAGUUCCUCGCCCUAGCCUUAAAUGUUGAAUGUUUUGAGGAAUUUUUGAUCAAGAAUAUAAAAUCAUUAGCGUAGCCAGAAUAACAAUCUUUAUUUAUUAAAACCGUAAAACUUUACUUUUCCAUAUUUUAAAAUAGAUUCAGUAAUUACGUUAUUUUUAUUUUGAUAUAACUUAAUUCUUGUGCUUGAUACGAUGUCACUGGCUACGCGAAUGUAUGUGAUGAAAUAGUUAUUGCUCAAAAUUGUACUCCAAGCAUUGUGAUAGGUUGCGAGUGUACACGUCCAUUAGCGAUCUCCUUGAAACAGUAUUUCUAGAGGGAUACUUGUAUUUUAUAUCGUUAUAACGUGUAUUUAGUUUUUUCUAUCGGAAGUUACCACAGAUUCUACUGAUUGAAUAAUUUUCGUACGGUCUAUUCUUUAUCUUUAAACAAAAAUACUAUUGCAGUUUUAUUUUAAUAUAUGAAACUUGUAAACUAUCGAUUAAGUCAUUCUUAAAGGCGAUUUUCGUUUAACUACCUAUCCUGGCUCGCGUUGUAGCAAUUGAACUUUAUAAGUCAUAAAAACUAAUUAAAAUAACAGCAAACAAAUUCGCAGCCAUCGAUUCGUAGUCAUGUGAAACGCCAUAAAUAGGAAUAGUCACUCACAGUGCCAUGGCGCACCAAAAUGUAUUAUAGUUGUAGAUUGAUGGUGUAGUUAGUAUCGUAUAGAGAAUGAUUUGCGGGUAUAUCGCCUACUGUUAGUUAUGUUACUGUUCGAAAACCUACGCACGCAGACGUGCACCUGCCGGUUCAGUUGUAAUGUCUGUUUUAACGUUAAAUUCUACUAGUCAGUGAUUACUUGGAAAUCAAGCAUAUAGCCGAUGAAAUAUUAUAUAGAAAUAGAAAAUAGUACCGGCGAAAAUUUAUCAUAAAGGAGUGUUGUUAGCAUUUAUGUCGUCCGAUUUCAGUAGACUAGUUGAAUUUAACUCUUGUUUCUUAUUGACUUUCAGAUUUAUAUAUUUGUAAUACAACCCAGAUAAUGUUUUAUUUGAUAAUAUAUAUAAAAUAACAUCCAACUAAACCGAACAUACCUAAAUAUUAAAUAAUUUAUGUAAUAAACAGGUCUGUUAGAUCUUGUGAACGCAACGAAUUAUUUGUAACGAUAUAUAUACAAACGUUAUUCAGUCACAAGAUGUAAUACGUCUCUGUAUGUUGUUGUGUGAGAAGUCGGAUGCGAGUAAUAUAAGUAAGAAUUAUAAUUUUGUAAGUAUGAUGUAUGUAUUUUGGUGCUGCAUUACUAAUUUAUUUCUUUUUAAAUGAGAAUGACUGUCUUUUUUAUAAGAAGCGAAACUGACUUAAAAUGAUGUAUAAAUUUGGAUACUUUGAAUAAAUUUCGCCCUCAAAAAUAUUGUUUUAUUAACUUAAAUGCAAUUUGUUAUAAGAAGAGUAUACUAAUUCUAUGAUUUGAAGAAAGAGAAUAAAAAAAAGUUCAAAAUGUUUUAGUUUCGUGAUGGUACCAUAGCGGCAAAUUUUAUAAAUGAAACUAACUGACCCCGCAAAUCUUGUUUUGCCAUAUAUGUUAUUAACCCCCUUAAUACCCCUCCCCUUAUAAC